GUCAUAGUCAGCACAUUCAUCUGCAGAUAGCUAGGUGGACCAGUCAUAGUCAGCACAUUCAUCUACAGAUAGCUAGGUGGACCAGUCAUAGUCAGGACAUUCAUCUUCAGAUAGCUAGGUGGACCAGUCAUAGUCAGGACAUUCAUCUUCAGAUAGCUAGGUGGACCAGUCAUAGUCAGGACAUUCAUCUGCAGAUAGCUAGGUGGACCAGUCAUAGUCAGGACAUUCAUCUGCAGAUAGCUAGGUGGACCAGUCAUAGUCAGCACAUUCAUCUUCAGAUAGCUAGGAGGGACAACCACAUAUCAC